AAAAAAAAAAACCCUACGACUCGCAUCGACUUCGUCUUCUCUGUUUCCUUUUCAUCAAAGCUUCUAGAGAUUCGAUUAGGUUUUGAAUUUUAAGACUCUCUAUUCAAUUGGUCUUUGUGAUCGGAUUGGGUAUGGCUCAAGCUGUAGAAGAAUGGUACAAACAGAUGCCGAUAAUAACCCGGUCGUACUUGACGGCGGCUGUUGUUACCACCGUGGGAUGUUCUCUCAAGGUAUAUACGCUUCCUCUUUCUCUGUUUUCCGUUUCUCCAUCCCUAUUCGUCCUUUCCGAACCUGAGAAACGUGAACGGAGAUGGUACCUUUGUCAUUAUCUCAACAUAAUCUCUGGCCGCCGGAAUCUGUAUCUCCGUUUAUGGAAAAGAACGCUGCUACAAAUAAACCUUAACAUUUUUAUUAUACAAUAUUUACAAUUUAUGCUUGUAGAUCUUUAAAGUCAAUAUAUGAGCACUCAUAUUUUCUUCCUUUGAUUUAUAUUUACAUUUUAUUUUAUUAUUGUUUAUAUUAAAUUAUAAUAAUUAAAUUUAACUAUAUUCGUAAAAUUUGAAAAAGAUAAAUAAGAAAACAUAUAUUAAGAUUUUUAUUAUGUUAUUAAAUUCAACCGAAGUACCGAACAAGACUAAUUUUGAUCAAUACAUUUUGAUCCAUGACUCGAAAACUUUUUCUGUUCGGUUUUAUGUCUGGUUUUAAAAAUAUUAAAGAUAAUCUGUUCAAAUGGUUUUUUUUGAAAAACAAUCUGUUCAAAUGUUUAAAAAUAUAAAUCUUCAAAACUGCAUUCAAUGAUCUAUACUUAUGUGAUUCAUUCUUUUCCAGAUUAAACAGUCAAUGAUGACAUGCUUUCACAUUAUCACUAUUCCUCUAUUUUGCAUUAGUUUAUACAUUACACUAUUAAUUUAUUGAUUAGGCGACAUAGCUUGGCAACCACUUCUCUUCAGCCCUCUGCUUGCUUUUAAAUUAAAUUUAUAUAUUAAGAUUUUUAUUAUGUUAUUAAAUUCAACCGAAGUACCAAACAAGACUAAUAUAUAUAGAUAUACAGUACUCUCUCCGUUCCACAAAGAUAGACUUUUUAGAAGAAAAAAAUUGUUUCAGAAAGAUGUAUUUUUUGUGUUUUCUAUGAAAAAAUUGUAAACUAACUUUAUUGAAUUACUAUUGGUUAAAAGUUAAUUUUGUUUUUUUAAAGUGAUCUAUACUAUAUUAAAAGGAAUAUAUGAGCUCCUCUUAGCUAUGCCACGUCGGAUCAAAAAAUCAUCUAAUCAAAUUUGUCUUUACUGCCAUGUCAUCUGCGGCUUGAGUAAAAAAAAAAACCCUACGACUCGCAUCGACUUCGUCUUCUCUGUUUCCUUUUCAUCAAAGCUUCUAGAGAUUCGAUUAGGUUUUGAAUUUUAAGACUCUCUAUUCAAUUGGUCUUUGUGAUCGGAUUGGGUAUGGCUCAAGCUGUAGAAGAAUGGUACAAACAGAUGCCGAUAAUAACCCGGUCGUACUUGACGGCGGCUGUUGUUACCACCGUGGGAUGUUCUCUCAAGGUAUAUACGCUUCCUCUUUCUCUGUUUUCCGUUUCUCCAUCCCUAUUCGUCCUUUCCGAACCUGAGAAACGUGAACGGAGAUGGUACCUUUGUCAUUAUCUCAACAUAAUCUCUGGCCGCCGGAAUCUGUAUCUCCGGUGUUUCGGGGUUACGUAACCGCCACAUCGAAACACGCCUGCGACCAUCUUCGCCGUCACCUCC
rnacentral:lncRNA from 1 species